UUGUUUUAUUCCGGAGAGGGAGCCUGAGAAAUGGCUACCACAUUCAAGGAAGGCAGCAGGUGCGCAAAUUACCUAAUCCCGAUAUGGGGAGGUAGUGAUAAUAAAUACUGAUACGGGGCUCUUUUGGGUCUUGUAAUUGGAAUGAGUAUAAUUUAAAUCCUUUAAUGAGGAACAAUUGGAGGGCAAGUCUGGUGUUAGCAGCCGCGGUAAUUUUAGCUCCAAUAGCGUAUAUUAAAGUUGUUGCAGUUAAAAAGCUCGUAGUUGAACCUUGGGCCUGGCUGGCCGGUCCGCCUUAUCGCGUGUACUGGUUCGGCCGGGUCUUUCCUUCUGGGGAGCCGCAUGCCCUUUACUGGGUGUGUCGGGGAACCAGGACUUUUACUUUGAAAAAAUUAGAGUGUUCAAAGUAGGCUUAUGUUCGAAUAUAUUAGUAUGGAAUAAUAGAAUAGGACGUGUGGUUCUAUUUUGUUGGUUUUUAGGACCGCCGUAAUGAUUAAUAGGGAUAGUCGGGGGCAUUAGUAUUCAAUUGUCAGAGGUGAAAUUCUUGGAUUUAUUGAAGACUAAUUAUUGCGAAAGCAUUUGCCAAGGAUGUUUUCAUUAAUCAGUUAACGAAAGUUAGGGGAUCGAAGAUGAUCAGAUACCGUUGUAGUCUUAACCAUAAACUAUGCCGACUAGGGAUCGGGCGAUGUUACUUCUUUGACUCGCUCGGCACCUUACGAGAAAUCAAAGUCUUUGGGUUCUGGGGAGUAUGGUCGCAAGGCUGAAACUUAAAGAAAUUGACGGAAGGGCACCACCAGGAGUGGAGCCUGCGGCUUAAUUUGACCCAACAUGGGGAAAUUCACCAGGUCCAGACACAAUAAGGAUUGACAGAUUGAGAGUUUUUUCUUGAUUUUGUGGGUGGUGGUGCAUGGCCGUUCUUAGUUGGUGGAGUGAUUUGUCUGCUUAAUUGCGAUAACGAACGAGACCUUAACCUGCUAAAUAGCCAGGCUAGCUUUGGCUGGUCGCCGGCUUCUUAGAGGGACUUUCGGCUUAAGCCGAUGGAAGUUUGAGGCAAUAACAGGUCUGUGAUGCCCUUAGAUGUUCUGGGCCGCACGCGCGCUACACUGACAGAGCCAACGAGUUCUUUCCUUAACCGAAAGGUUUGGGUAAUCUUGUUAAACUCUGUCGUGCUGGGGAUAGGGCAUUGCAAUUAUUGCUCUUCAACGAGGAAUUCCUAGUAAGCGCAAGUUAUCAGCUUGCGCUGAUUACGUCCCUGCCCUUUGUACACACCGCCCGUCGCUACUACCGAUUGAAUGGCUCAGUGAGGCUUUCGGACUGGCCCAGGAAGAGUGGUAACACUCAUCUAGGGCCGGAAAGUUGUUCAAACUUGGUCAUUUAGAGGAAGUAAAAGUCGUAAUAAGGUUUCCGUAGGUGAACCUGCGGAAG
rnacentral:rRNA from 1 species